rnacentral:miRNA from 14 species
UGUGUGUUUGUGUGCGUACAUAUGUACAAACCUAUAUAUACUUACAUGUAUACACACACACACACACACACACCACACAUACACACACACAC